rnacentral:rRNA from 1 species
GAUGAACGCUGGCGGCGUGCCUAAUACAUGCAAGUCGAGCGAAAGGACGAGAAGCUUGUUUCCCUGCUGUUAGCGGCGGACGGGUGAGUAACACGUGGAUAACCUACUUAUAUGUCUGGGAUAACUUCGGGAAACAGGUGAUAAUAACGGCUAAUAUUUUGUACCGGAUGGUUCAAAAGUGAUAGACGGCUUUGGUGUCACUUAUAGCUGGUUCCGCGCUGGAUUAGCUAGUUGGUAAGGUAACGGCUUACCAAGGCGACGAUGCGUAGCUGACCUGAGAGGGUGAUCAGCCACACUGGAAAUGAGACACGGUCCAGAAUCCUAAGGGAGGCAGCAGUGGGGAAUAUUGGCCAAUGGGGGGAAGCCUGAUCCAGCCAUACCGCGUGGGUGAAGAAGGCCUUCCGGUUGUAAAGCCCUUUUGUUGGGGAAGAAAAGCAGUAGGUUAAUACCCCGCUGUUCUGACGGUACCCAAAGAAUAAGCACCGGCUAAAUUCGUG